CUGAGUUGGUACGGCAAACACUUGUCCAGGGAUAAAACGGCGCGAUAGUGAAGCUGACCGCUCAUUUGUAAGGGAAAGUUCCCAUUGCUGGAAGUAUUACUGUUGAAAGGUACACUGAAGUUUUCCAUGAUGAAGCGGAACUUGAUGGUGUUAAUGUAGACUGAAGUUAGGCUCACGUCAUACUACAACAAAUAAUCGGACAACUACCACUGGAAGUACUAAGUACAGAUCUACUCGUAUAUUGAAGCGAAGUCUGUUUUAUUAUCAGUAGACCAAGGCAAUGUUAAACUUAUAGGGAGAAAGAGGAAAAAAUUAUUGAAACUAGAUUUCUUUUUAUGCUGUGGAAUAUACAGGUUAAUGUAUGUACUUCCUACUGGAAGAUUUUGUAUUCUUUUGAAUAACUUUUGUGUUCAUUGGUGUUGACACUUAAAUAAAUGCUUCAAAUCUACGAUUACUGGGUUUUUGGAGUUUGACCAUCGUCCGGUGUUUGAAUAGCUAGAGAAAACAACGCUAACCACAAUGACUGGACUGAGGUUAGUUCGUCCUAAGGGACCCAACAGAGUAGGUGGCUCCUUCACCUGAGGAAGGAAGCAGAUCCAAUUCUCUAGUUUUUAGAA